rnacentral:rRNA from 1 species
CGAACGCUGGCAGCGUGGAUUAGGCAUGCAAGUCGAACGGGAUCGCCCGAGUAGCAAUACGAGGGCGUGAGAGUGGCGGAUUGGGGAGGAACACGUGAGCAACCUGCCCUGGAGAUGGGGAAAACCGUUGGAAACGACGGCUAAUACCGAAUGUGGCGCCCGCGGGCAUCCGCGGGACGCUGAAGGGGGCCGCAAGGCUCCCGCUCCGGGAUGGGCUCGCGCACCAUCAGCUAGUUGGCGGGGUAACGGCCCACCAAGGCCUACGGUUAGCUGGUCUGAGAGGAUGACCAGCCCCACUGGGACUGAGAUACUGCCCAGACUCCUACGGGAGGCUGCAGUCGAGGAUCAUUCGCAAUGGGCGAAAGCCUGACGAUGCGACGCUGCGUGGAGGACGGAGGCCUUCGGGUCGUAAACUCCUGUCAUGGGGGAAAAGGCGAGGCGGGCCAACAACCCGCUUAGUUGAUGGUACCCCAAGAGGAAGCGACGGCUAACUCUGUGCCAGCAGCUGC